rnacentral:rRNA from 1 species
AUUGAACGCUGGCGGCAGGCCUAACACAUGCAAGUCGGACGGUAGCACAGAGGAGCUUGCUCCUUGGGUGACGAGUGGCGGACGGGUGAGUAAUGUCUGGGGAUCUGCCCGAUAGAGGGGGAUAACCACUGGAAACGGUGGCUAAUACCGCAUAACGUCGCAAGACCAAAGAGGGGGACCUUCGGGCCUCUCACUAUCGGAUGAACCCAGAUGGGAUUAGCUAGUAGGCGGGGGAAUGGCCCACCUAGGCGACGAUCCCUAGCUGGUCUGAGAGGAUGACCAGCCACACUGGAACUGAGACACGGUCCAGACUCCUACGGGAUGCAGCAGUGGGGAAUAUUGCACAAUGGGCGCAAGCCUGAUGCAGCCAUGCCGCGUGUAUGAAGAAGGCCUUCGGGUUGUAAAGUACUUUCAGCGGGGAGGAAGGCGGUGAGGUUAAUAACCUCGCCGAUUGACGUUACCCGCAGAAGAAGCACCGGCUAACUCCGUGCCAGCCGCCGCAGUAA